rnacentral:tRNA from 1 species
CAAGGUGUAGCUUAACACAAAGCACCCGGCUUACACCUGGGAGAUUUCAAUUAAACUUGACCACCCUGA